rnacentral:snRNA from 1 species
AUGCUCGUUUCGGUAGCACAUAUGCUAAAAUCACAACAAUAAAGAGAAGAUUAGCAUGGCCCCUGCACAAGGAUGACAUGCAAAUUCAUGAAGCGUUCCAUACUUAA